AGCGAACGUUAGCGGCGGGCCUAACACAUGCAAGUCGAACGCGAAAGGUCUUCGGACUGAGUAGAGUGGCGCACGGGUGAGUAACACGUAGGUAAUCUACCCUUUGGCGGGGGAUAACGUUCCGAAAGGAGCGCUAAUACCGCAUAAGACCACGGAGUCUCCGGACGCUGUGGGAAAAGGUGGCCUCUUCUUGAAAGCUAUCACCGAAGGAUGAGCCUGCGUCCCAUCAGCUAGUUGGUAAGGUAAUGGCUUACCAAGGCGAAGACGGGUAGCUGGUUUGAGAGAAUGAUCAGCCACACUGGCACUAGAACACGGGCCAGACUCCUACGGGAGGCAGCAGUGAGGAAUAUUGGGCAAUGGGCGAAAGCCUGACCCAGCCACGCCGCGUGAGUGAUGAAGGCCCUCGGGUCGUAAAGCUCUGUGGAGAGGGACGAAAACCCUGGUUUCAAAUAGGCUCCAGGCUUGACGGUACCUCUUUAGCAAGCACCGGCUAACUCUGUGCCAG
rnacentral:rRNA from 1 species